rnacentral:lncRNA from 1 species
CCACCGUCGUCCCCGUCCCCGUCGCUGUCGCCCCACCGCUCGUCGGAGCCGGUGGCCGCCGUCGUCCCCGUCGCCGUCGCCCCACCGCUCGUCGGAGCCGGCGGCCACCGCUGCGGGGGAGGCGGCGACGACGAGGAGAAUGGCGACAGGUGCGGUGAACAAGAGGGAGAGCGGGAGCGGGGGCGCGGAGGCCGCUGCCGGCGCCGGGGAAGCCGCCGCUGGCUCAGGACCCCGGCCGCCGAGGAGGACGACGACGGCGCGGCCUCGGCAAGGGUCGCCCUCAAGCUCGCCUCCCUUGCCGCGCCGCUCUGGCUCCCCGCCCUUGUCGGUCUGCUCAUUGGCUGCCCCGCCUCGCCGACCACCGGAUUCGCCACUGCCUCCUCCACGCUUCGCCUCGCCGAUCACCGGAUUCGCGCACCGCCUCCUUCUCCUGCUCCACCACGCGGCUGCCUCCUCCUCUCUCUCCUCCUGCUCCAGGCUACUGGUACCAGGUAUCACGGGUACCAGGAGGCGGCGGGAGCAGCGGGCAAGGACGACGGCGACCUUGGCGAGGAGCGCGAGGGAGGAGGGGAGAGGCCCCGGCGCCGGCAGCAACGAGAGCGCCAGUGGAAGAAGCAGCGCCACAGCGCGUGGAGGCGGCACCGCAGCGGGCGGAGGACGACGUCGUGGAGGUGCGGCGAGAUCACCCUCGACGCCGCCCCGACCUCGCCGACGCCGUGCCGUCGUCGUCCACGGCCACCGGAGACGACGACGACCCCUUCCUCCUGGCCAGCUUCAUCUCCGCCUCUCGUUUUCUUCUCCUGUGAGAGAGAGAGAGUUUGUGGAGGGGAAAGGAAGGAGAUAAGGUAGUGGAGAUCUU